CACGUAGGGCGCGAGCGUUGUCCGGAAUUAUUGGGCGUAAAGAGCUCGUAGGCGGCCUGUUGCGUCCGCUGUGAAAGCCCGGGGCUUAACCCCGGGUCGGCAGUGGAUACGGGCAGGCUAGAGGUAGGUAGGGGAGAAUGGAAUUCCCGGUGUAGCGGUGAAAUGCGCAGAUAUCGGGAGGAACACCGGUGGCGAAGGCGACUCACUGGACACAUAUUGACGCUGAGGUGCGAAAGCGUGGGGAGCAAACAGG
rnacentral:rRNA from 1 species